GUGGGGAAUAUUGGACAAUGGGCGAAAGCCUGAUCCAGCCAUGCCGCGUGUGUGAAGAAGGUCUUCGGAUUGUAAAGCACUUUAAGUUGGGAGGAAGGGCAGUAAGUUAAUACCUUGCUGUUUUGACGUUACCAACAGAAUAAGCACCGGCUAACUUCGUGCCAGCAGCCGCGGUAAUACGAAGGGUGCAAGCGUUAAUCGGAAUUACUGGGCGUAAAGCGCGCGUAGGUGGUUCAGCAAGUUGAAGGUGAAAUCCCCGGGCUCAACCUGGGAAUUGCGCUUGUGACUGCAAGGCUGGAGUGCGGCAGAGGGGGAUGGAAUUCCGCGUGUAGCAGUGAAAUGCGUAGAUAUAGGAAGGAACACCAGUGGCGAAGGCGACUACCUGGACUGAUACUGACACUGAGGUGCGAAAGCGUGGGGAGCAAACAGGAUUAGAAACCCCGGUAGUCC
rnacentral:rRNA from 1 species